rnacentral:rRNA from 1 species
UACGAAGGGGGCUAGCGUUGCUCGGAAUCACUGGCCGUAAAGGGUGCGUAGGCGGGUCUUUAAGUCAGGGGUGAAAUCCUGGAGCUCAACUCCAGAACUGCCUUUGAUACUGAAGAUCUUGAGUUCGGGAGAGGUGAGUGGAACUGCGAGUGUAGAGGUGAAAUUCGUAGAUAUUCGCAAGAACACCAGUGGCGAAGGCGGCUCACUGGCCCGAUACUGACGCUGAUGCACGAAAGCGUGGGGAGCAAACAGG